UACGUAGGGUGCGAGCGUUGUCCGGAAUUAUUGGGCGUAAAGAGCUUGUAGGCGGUCUGUCGCGUCUGCUGUGAAAAUCCGGGGCUCAACCCCGGACUUGCAGUGGGUACGGGCAGACUAGAGUGUGGUAGGGGAGACUGGAAUUCCUGGUGUAGCGGUGAAAUGCGCAGAUAUCAGGGAGGAACACCCGAUGGCGAAGGCGGGUCUCUGGGC
rnacentral:rRNA from 1 species